GCUAGGCAUGAUGGCACGUGCCUGUAAUCCCAGCAGCUCAGGAAGCUGAAACAGGAGGAUUGCAAGUUCAAAACCAGCCUCAGCAAUUUAGUGAGACCCUAAGCAACUUAUCAAGACCCUGUCUCUA
rnacentral:sRNA from 1 species